rnacentral:rRNA from 1 species
GUGAGGAAUUUUCCGCAAUGGGCGAAAGCCUGACGGAGCAAUGCCGCGUGAAGGAUGAAGGCCUAUGGGUUGCAAACUUCUUUUCUCAGAAAAGAAUUAUGACGGUAUCUGAGGAAUAAGCAUCGGCUAACUCUGUGCCAGCAGCCGCGGUAAGACAGAGGAUGCAAGCGUUAUCCGGAAUGAUUGGGCGUAAAGCGUCUGUAGGUUGUUUAAAAAGUAUUCUGUCAAAGAUUAGGGCUUAACCCUAGAUAGGCAGAAUAAACUUUUAAGCUAGAGUUUGGUAGAGGCAGAGGGAAUUCCCGGUGGAGCGGUGAAAUGCGUAGAUAUCGGGAGGAACACCAAAGGCGAAGGCACUCUGCUGGGCCAAUACUAACACUGAGAGACGAAAGCGAGGGGAGCAAAUGGGAUUAGAUACCCCGGUAGUCC